GAUGAACGCUGACAGAAUGCUUAACACAUGCAAGUCUACUUGAAGCUAACUUCGGUUAGUGGAGGGUGGCGGACGGGUGAGUAACGCGUAAAGAACUUGCCUCACAGUUUGGGACAACAUUUGGAAACGAAUGCUAAUACUAAAUAUUAUGAUACUUCUGCAUGGAAGAAUCAUGAAAGCUAUAUGCGCUGUGAGAGAGCUUUGCGUCCCAUUAGCUAGUUGGAGAGGUAACGGCUCACCAAGGCGAUGAUGGGUAGCCGGCCUGAGAGGGUGAACGGCCACAAGGGGACUGAGACACGGCCCUUACUCCUACGGGAGGCAGCAGUGGGGAAUAUUGGACAAUGGACCAAGAGUCUGAUCCAGCAAUUCUGUGUGCACGAUGAAGUUUUUCGGAAUGUAAAGUGCUUUCAGUUGGGAAGAAGCAAGUGACGGUACCAACAGAAGAAGCGACGGCUAAAUACGUGCCAGCAGCCGCGGUAAUACGUAUGUCGCAAGCGUUAUCCGGAUUUAUUGGGCGUAAAGCGCGUCUAGGUGGUUAUGUAAGUCUGAUGUGAAAAUGCGGGGCUCAACUCCGUAUUGCGUUGGAAACUGUAUGACUAGAGUACUGGAGAGGUAAGCGGAACUACAAGUGUAGAGGUGAAAUUCGUAGAUAUUUGUAGGAAUGCCGAUGGGGAAGCCAGCUUACUGGACAGAUACUGACGCUAAAGCGCGAAAGCGUGGGUAGCAAACAGG
rnacentral:rRNA from 1 species